rnacentral:rRNA from 1 species
AUUGAACGCUGGCGGCAGGCCUAACACAUGCAAGUCGAGCGGAUGAAGGGAGCUUGCUCCUGGAUUCAGCGGCGGACGGGUGAGUAAUGCCUAGGAAUCUGCCUGGUAGUGGGGGAUAACGUCCGGAAACGGGCGCUAAUACCGCAUACGUCCUGCGGGAGCAAGUGGGGGAUCUUCGGACCUCACGCUAUCAGAUGAGCCUAGGUCGGAUUAGCUAGUUGGUGGGGUAAAGGCCUACCAAGGCGACGAUCCGUAACUGGUCUGAGAGGAUGAUAGGUCACACGGGAACUGAGACACGGUCCAGACUACUGCGAGAGGCAGCAGUGGGGAAUAUUAGACAAUGGGCGAAAGCCUGAUACAGCCAUGCCGCGUGUGUGAAGAAGGUCUUCGGAUUGUAAAGCACUUUAAGUUGGGAGGAAGGGCAGUAAGUUGAUACCUUGCUGUUUUGACGUUACCAACAGAAUAAGCACCGGCUAACUUCGUG